rnacentral:rRNA from 1 species
UACGUAGGUGGCAAGCGUUGUCCGGAUUUACUGGGCGUAAAGAGCGCGCAGGCGGUCGUUCAAGUCGCGUGUGAAAGCCCCCGGCUCAACUGGGGAGGGUCACGCGAUACUGAUCGACUCGAAGGCAGGAGAGGGUAGUGGAAUUCCCGGUGUAGUGGUGAAAUGCGUAGAUAUCGGGAGGAACACCAGUGGCGAAGGCGACUACCUGGCCUGUUCUUGACGCUGAGGCACGAAGGUCAGGGGAUCAAACGGG